UGCCUGCAUCUGAUUGGUCGUGGCGCUGACUGCCUGUAUUUAAAGGGCCCUCCCUCAUCUGGUUGACAUCACGUUGUUCUCCUUCCGGUUCAGACCGUGGUGUUUAUUGGUGCCGCAUGCUAGCUGYAAAGUAAUGUGCGCGUGAACAAUGCACUUAAUGACGCUCUGAUCGCCAAUCAAUCGUCCUUCUGGCUGCCUGCACACGCUCCCAGUUCCUCCUCCCUGCUAGAGGCACUUCUUAAAGAAGCUCAAGUGGUGAGUGAACUGCUCAUUUUUGCAUGUUUUUAGAUUUUAUUUCUAACAUUUAUUUUUGAUAGCCGCUGCUGUUUGUCCUGGGCUGACUGUCUGUCCUUGGCUGGCUGUUUGCCUGCUGUUCUGGUUGCUCUGACUGGCCGUCCGUCUGCCAGCUGGAUAAUCUGUCGGCCACCUACCUGUCGUCCUGGUCGGCGUAAAUCUGGCUCCUAUCACUCGUCCAGUGUGGCUGCUUCGGGCUGAUUGGUAAUCAGCUCCCACUGCCCGGAGUGGUGUCUGUUACCACGGAUCGGUUCCUGCAAGGACGGACUUUCUAAAUCUGGACUAUUACUGCUUGAGUGUUGACUGAUAUUUUUAUUGUUUGUAAUUUUAAACUGCCUUUUAUU